ACUCCAGCCUGGCUGACAGAGUGAGACCCCAUCUCAAAAAAAAAAAAAAAAAAAAAAAUUAAGCUGGUGAUAGUAAAGCCAUGUUAUGAGCUUUAACGACAUUGAAGUCAUUAAGAUUCCUGGAAAUGGCUACAAAA
rnacentral:snoRNA from 1 species